rnacentral:sRNA from 1 species
GCUGGGCGUGGCACACACCUGUAAUCCCAGUGGCUUGGGAGGCUGAGGCAGGAGGUUCACGAGUUCCAAGCCAGUCUCGGCAACUUAGUGAGACCCUGUCUCUA